UUUCAUUUCGAGCAGGUCAUUUCUUCUAUCUCUCUGGGCUGGAAAAAACUGCAUGGCAGGUUUUCACCACUGACUUCUCCCCAUGGCUCUGGAGGGACUCAGGGCCAAGAAGAGACUCCUGUGGCGACUCUUCCUGUCUGCGUUUGGUCUCCUAGGCCUGUACCAUUACUGGUUCAAGAUUUUCAGGCUCUUUGAAGUGUUCAUCCCCAUGGGCAUCUGCCCUAUGGCCAUCAUGCCUCUGCUAAAGGACAAUUUCACCGGAGUGCUGCGUCACUGGGCCCGGCCUGAAGUCCUGACCUGUACCUCUUGGGGAGCCCCAAUUAUCUGGGAUGAGACCUUCGACCCACACGUAGCUGAGCGAGAGGCGAGACGGCAGAACCUUACCAUUGGACUGACUGUCUUUGCGGUAGGCAGGUAAGGCCCAGAGAGGAGCUCACGCUUCUAGGUAGGGAGCAGAAGGGUGUGCCCACGGACAGGUAUUCAUGAAGCCUUCUUCCAUACCAUGGGAGCUCCUAGGGCAGCUACAGGCUAUAUCCACUUUUUCAGACUCUCGGGCAAGCACAGAAGCACUCUCAGCUGAAGGAAUGUGCCUCAGGUUAGGUUUGGCACAUAC
rnacentral:lncRNA from 1 species